UACCUGUUCGAGCGUCAUUACACCCCUCAAAGAUGACUCUUUGGCGUUGGGCAAUGCCUAAAGGCAUGCCUCAAAAUCAGCGAUGGUGAUAUUCAACCACAGGCGCACACACGUCGUCUAGCUGGCGGGAUGUUGACAGUCAAUUGAUGAAUUUCUAAAUGUUGACCUCGGAUCAGGUAGGAAUACCCGCUGACUACUAA
rnacentral:misc_RNA from 1 species